GGGGGGAUAUUGCACAAUGGGCGAAAGCCUGAUGCAGCGACGCCGCGUGGGGGAUGAAGGCCUUCGGGUUGUAAACUUCUUUUGCUCUGAACAAGGCAUGCCUUUGGGGUGUGUUGAGUGUAGGGGUUGAUUAGCGCCGGCUAACUACGUGCCAGCAGCCGCGGUAAUACGUAGGGCGCGAGCGUUGUCCGGAAUUAUUGGGCGUAAAGGGCUUGUAGGUGGCUGGUUGCGUCUGUCGUGAAAGCUCAUGGCUUAACUGUGGGUUUGCGGUGGGUACGGGCUGGCUUGAGUGCAGUAGGGGAGGCUGGAAUUCCUGGUGUAGCGGUGGAAUGCGCAGAUAUCAGGAGGAAUACCGGUGGCGAAGGCGGGUCUCUGGGCUGUUACUGACGCUGAGGAGCGAAAGCGUGGGGAGCGAACAGG
rnacentral:rRNA from 1 species